UGCGUAGGUGGUGGGGUAAGUUUGAGGUGAAAGCUCCGGGCUCAACCCGGAAAUGGCCUUGAAGACUAUCCUGCUCGAGGGUUGGAGGGGGGACUGGAAUUCUCGGUGUAGCAGUGAAAUGCGUAGAUAUCGAGAGGAACACCAGUGGCGAAGGCGAGUCCCUGGACAACACCUGACACUGAGGCACGAAAGCUAGGGGAGCAAACGG
rnacentral:rRNA from 1 species